CGGCUGGUGGUGCGGCGGCGGGCAGGGCGGUGUACUCGGCCGCGAGGCGUACCGCCAUGCGCCGCUCCCGCCGGUCCGUGACCAGGCCGGCCUCCCA
rnacentral:tRNA from 1 species